CGGCUCCCCACCGGCUCCUGGACAAGCCCCGCCGCCCAGCUGACGUGGCCCCCGCCUCCUGAGGGCCCAGCGCCCAGCUUCAGUUCCGGGAGUGCUCUAGGCGCGGCCACCAGCGACCCAAAGAGGAACCAGAGAAGAAAGGGGAGGGACGGGGGCGUGGAGAAGCGUCCCGCCUCUGAGAAACUGAGGCACGCCCCACCGCCAGGUGUCACGACUCCUAAACUAAGAGUCCUAACUCUCUUUUCUGCUCGCGGACCGAGAAGUCUGGUCGCACCCAACUCCUCCAGGCCCUCACCCAAGUCGGCGAAGAUUGUGCUUUGCAUCCGGGGGCUUGACUGAGGGGGAAGGGGACAAACUGACAUCCAGUCCUCGCACCAUUCCUCAAGUCGUGUGCUCUGGAGUGGAGUUGUGUCCGCUGGAGGGGAGAGAGAGAGGAAGAGAGGAAGAGAAACAUCGAUGUGAGAAACAUCCAUCCAUUGCCUCUUAUGCAUGCCGCCACCAGGACCGAACCUCAAUGGGCAUAUGCUGCGACUGGGAAUGGAACCAGCGCCCCUUAGCCUUUCAAGAGGACUCCCAACCAACUGAGCCACACAGGUUAGGGCAGGCGACAGAGUGGGGAUCUUCAGCUCUUCACCAAAUCUUUGUUCAGGACUCACUUUGCGUUGGGCCAUUUGCUGAGUGAUGUUGGGGACACAGCAGUGACCACGACAGUUCUGAAACCUACCCUCAGAGGGCUCCCAACACUUUAACAGAGUGACAGCCCAGAGGGAAGCACAGGCAGAGUGACCAGAGUUGAGAUGGUAGAUGCCUAGAAGACUGUGUAGCCCAAAGGAGCCUAGAGGAGGCGACUGCCACAGCUUUUGGGAGAUCAAGAGAGCUUCCGGAGAAAGGAAAUAAUAUGAGGCGAAACAUGAAGGAAGAACAGGAAUGAGGCAGGGCCUCUUUUCCAGGCAGAACCACAGAUCCACACCUCCAUUGAAAGGGGAGUUGUGCCUUCCCUGUUCCCCCUGUACUUUUCUCCACAUCCCACUCCAGCUGGAACUCAGCACACUCCAUGACUGCCUUCCGGAAGGCAGACCAGAGACCUGACCACAUCUGACUGGCAGAUGAGUGAGGCUGAUGGCCCAGCUCAGACACACCCCAGCUGGUUCUAUUUAUAAAACUGUGGCAGCUCUUGGGAAGAGCCCAACUUGGGACUGAGAACUCACCGGAAGAGACGCCUGAUAAUACAACAGUAACAGUGGG